rnacentral:sRNA from 1 species
UCUCACAGCCAAAGGAGUCUUGCUGAGC